CUCACCAUAGGCCAGCGGUUAAACUGAUCGUGACUGAAUAUUAUUCAGGAGCGGGAGGUCGAAGGUUCGAUUCCUUCGGGUGACA